rnacentral:rRNA from 1 species
UGAGGAAUAUUGGACAAUGGGUGAAAGCCUGAUCCAGCCAUCCCGCGUGAAGGAUGAAAGACCUAUGGUUUGUAAACUUCUUUUAUACAGGGAUAAACCUACUUACGUGUAAGUAGCUGAAGGUACUGUAUGAAUAAGCACCGGCUAACUCCGUGCCAGCAGCCGCGGUAAUACGGAGGGUGCAAGCGUUAUCCGGAUUUAUUGGGUUUAAAGGGUCCGUAGGCGGAUUAGUAAGUCAGUGGUGAAAGCCUGUCGCUUAACGAUAGAACUGCCAUUGAUACUGCUAGUCUUGAGUUCGGUUGAGGCGGCUGGAAUGAGUAGUGUAGCGGUGAAAUGCAUAGAUAUUACUCAGAACACCAAUUGCGAAGGCAAGUCGCCAAACCUAUACUGACGCUGAGGG